CUGAGCGUUUAGUUCUUUUUCAGUGUUCGUGUGGAUCGGGUCGACGAACGCGGAUCCGGCAGUAAAACUCUGCUAAACGUCUGUGCAAACGGGCUGCGCGCUAAGUCUCCAACGGCAGCGCCAAACUACUUGGAUCCGAGCGCUGAGGAUAUAGAAGAAUUCUAUGAGUCUGUGUGUGUUCCAACGUACAAAUCGGUGUAAAGUUAUCGCUCAGAUUACGGGUCUGAGUUUUGUUUAUUGAAACAAAUCAUUUGUGUGCAACGAAAUAAAAUUAUUAACAUUAGAUAAGCAGUUUGAUUGUGUGCCAGCGCAGUGAACGUAAUAACAAAUCGAGAUUUGCAGCUGCCGAGGCGAACAGAUGUUACAAAUAAACGAGCAACGCGAAUCGGCUGCCAUUGGAAAUAACUUCAAUGAAAGUACAACAAAAACUAAAACGCAACCAAAAUUACCACCACAAGUGUGUUCCUAACACCUGAGUCGCCUGAACCAAGAACAACGACAACAAAUCCACACUACCAUCGCCAGCACUACGAACAAAGUGACACUUAGCCGCUAAGAGUGCGCCCCCAAGCCAAAGCAUCUUACGCCAGCAACAACGCCACUACCGCCUAACACCGCCGCAAGCACUGCCAUCGUCAAAAGAAUGCCGAUUUGCAAUAAGCCACCACUGCCGGUCGGAACAGCAAAUAGCGUGGACGAGUUCGAUGACCACGCCUCAGAGGUGGCCAAAAUGAGGCACACACGCGAACAAGCCUACUUCAAUUCCUAUAAUUUCGACGCAAUCCCAGUUUUGCCUGUGGAGGAGAGUCUUCCAAAGGCUGGUGGUAGUCAGAGCGGCAACCUAUCUGCAAUUGCAGUAAGUUCUCUCGCUUCCAUGAAAGUGCCACCGUCCCUCGUUGCUUCUAAUAGUCAUCAACAUCAACACCAACAACUCAACACGCUUAAGCCGCUUUAUCGAGGCGCUUCAUCGAUCGCUUCGUCGUCACAAAGCACACGCAGCAGUUUUCAACUGACUAGUAGUGGUCACAGCAGCGAUGCAGAUGAUAGUUACUUGCAGCGUCAUCCACGUAACCGCCAUGAGCAUUCCGGACCGGAAUUAACCUACACAUAUAUGCAACACAUUGGCGCGCGUUUUGCGCGUUCACGCAAUGCUUCUCCAUCAACGUCUGAGGCAGAACUCGGCCGAGACUUCCUAGGCGGCAGUGGUUCAGCUAACAUAGAGACAGUUAAUGUAGGAAGUGUCAUCGUGCCAGCGGACGAAAUUGCACCUGUGCACGAGAGGAAGGGUCCUGGAGAAAUGUCGGAGAAUGGAAGUUUUCUGUUGCCCCGGGCCAUGCUAAAGUAUCAAAGUAUUGGCAAUGUGAAUUCAAUGCCAUCGGCUGCGAGCAGUAGUGGACGCGGGGACAAAUUGCUGCAAAAUAGCCAUAGCAACAACAGCGAAAGCAGCUACAGCAGUAGCAACAACAAAAGUGCCAGUUUUAAUAAUUACAACAACAACAAUAACAAAGUAAGCGGCAACAGCAGCAAGGAGAGCAACGGUAAAGAGUCAAUGAUGGUGAUGACCACCAAUGCCAUUAGCCACAGAAAUACAAAUUACAACAACAACAACAACAAUAACAGCAGCGUUAACAAUGGCAAAAAUAGCAAGUGUAAAGUUGUUGUUUCCUCUGCCGCUACCGCUGCCGCUGCCGCUGCUGGAUCCAACAAUACUAAGGCGAUAAAUACCAACAUCAGCAGCAACAAUAACAACAGCGUUAGCAAUACCAGUAGCAGUCACACCACCAAAAGCAUGCAGAACUAUGCGAACAGCAACGAUGGUUACGCCAGUUUAGUAGUCGCCAGCGACGUCGAUUGUAGUGGUCACGCGCCUUUUAGAGUCGCUCACCAGGCCACGCAAAACAAGCUAAUAGCAAUACCCACGGCAACAACAAAAGCCCCAACAAAAGCCAGCAACACGUCCACCUCGGCGCCGGGUGCAGCGGUGCGCGUCAAAAAACCGUCUACCAGUUCGACAAUUACAACAACAACAAUCGCGUCGAGCAUUAGCUCCGAACACGACGAAGAGUCUUCUGCGUCAGCAUCGAAUACGAGAAAGGGGGGCACAAGCAAAGUCAACCAAACGUCAAAAGGCAGUGCAAGCAAAUUGGCCCAGAGUGGUAGCGUUGAGCGUCGUGGACGCACCAGUUCACAUCAGUCGCACUAUUCGACGGACAAAAGCGGUUCGUCCGGUUACUACAGCUCAAACGUUUGCUCUACUUACUCACUGGAUGAACAUAUCUAUUGUGAACCGGUUGUAGAUAUCCUAGACGUGAAUCGUGGCAGUGGCGUUUCAACCGCUACUACAGCCGCUAGUAAAACUAGCAAAAGCGCGGCAACACUAGAGAGUAAAAAGGCCGCCAACAGUGAGAGUAAUAAAAACAACAAGCAAACACCGUUAGAUAUGACCAGUAAACAAGGAGGUGGUGCAUCUAAAUGUUUUUAUGUACGACGCAGUGUUGUCGGUGCGGCAGCAAGUCGAAACGGCGAAAGUGGUAUUGCGGACUGCAGUGAGUUGGAAGGCGAGGACGAUUGCGAUGGCGAUGGCGCGAAGAAGGCCAGAGCUAUGGCACGUCUUGUAAACUCUAAUGGCCAUCGCAAGGCGAACGUUGAUCUCCAUACCAGUGGGACCAAAAUACCCGCCAGCUUACAAUUCUUAUUACAGCGACAAACCUCCGAUGAUAAUUAUCCUCCAUCUCAGCAUUUUAGCGAGAACUUGCGCAUACUGGAAACGAGCAUCGAGAAUCUCGAUCGCCAUUUGAAAAAUUUUCCGAGUAUAACUUCCCAUGAACGCAUUGCUGCAUUUGUGCAAUCACAUCACCAACAUCUCCAUCAGCAACAUCAUCAUGCCUACUUGCAAACGCCAAUUGGGGAAAGCAUCGGAAGUGAAAAGCUCGCAGCACGUACUCAACAACCGCCACAGACGUCACAUCAACAAUUACCCACCAUUAUGGAAGGUUAUGAUCCCACAAUUCAACCUCAUCGUCCAUGGCCUGAUGAGAUUGUGGAUGACUCAUUGCUCGACAUUGACCUCGACUCAUUUCUCCUAGUCAACGAACGUAAAACUGCGGCCGAUGGCAAGUCGGCGCGCAAAUCGUCAACCAUACCUGAAGUUGGUGGCAUCGACAAUCCUACAUUUCUCACCGAGGAACAGGAAGAGGAGAAUAAUUAUAAGUGUGCAAAAUAUAUUAAUUCCUGCCCUGACGAUGCUUAUCAUGUUGAAAGCGAUAUAGUCACCGGCACUGGAACAGUUUCGGAGAAGUCUGUAUCGGUCGGCGAUCACUAUAUGAAACGGUACGAGGAUCAGUUGCACUUUCAAAGUACACGCGAGCUACUCGAAGAUGUGCGUGACAAAAUACGUUUGCUCUCGCAGACGGGCAAUAGUAACAGUCCGAGUUCGCACGGUGCCGGAGGACAAUUUAGCUUGGCCGCGCCUACCGAGCAACUGCCACGCGAAUUGGAGGGCAUGAUUAACACACUGAAGAGCGAGCUAGAAAACUAUUUAGAUCGCAUGAACCAACAUAGUGAACUCGAGAUUCGCCAGUUGUGUAGCGGCCUAGUGCGUAAUCACAACAUAGUUAAAAUGAAGAAGGCAUUCGAACGACGUCGCUCGACGCACAGUCUCGGUACAAUCGAAUCGGAUUACGGUUAUCUAGGUAAUUACGAAGCCAUCUGCAAUGGUGUGCCGACAAGUAUUCGCGAACAAAUUGUUUCGAUACGCUGCGUGAGUGAUCCUAACUUUAAAAUGAAACGCAAAUCCUUAACGGAGGUAUUUCCCGUGUCCGAUUGUUAUACAGAGUCUGAUACUCUCGCUGCGGUGCAACAGCAACAGCGUCGCCCGUCUAUACCGCGUCGCGAACGUGAUAACGCCGAACACAGACAACGUGAGCACGAUCGAAAUGUGAUCACCUUGCAUGUGCCCACAAGCCUACUGCAAAGAAAUCUUUCUUUCCAACAACCAGUACUAAAUAAAUUGGAUGCAAAGUCAUUACCAACGCCGAUGACAGAUGCGGAAGUGAGUGGGGAGGGUAAUAAUGCGAAAAGUAGCGAGGGUGGGGGCGGCGGUAACGGUUGCGGCGCCGAGUCGGGCGAAUCGGGUGAUAAGGAGACCAUUUUGGAGUGGCAUCGGAAGAAACCGAGUAUUUGGGAAAUGUACUACGGUACAAAUCGAAUGAAUCAGUCUUUGUUGGGCAAACGCAAUGGCAUGGUCACAAACAACAACAGCCAGGUCACAAUGUCAUACGAUGUUUUGGGUCUCCAUCUUGCUGGAAGAUGUCAAAGAAUUCAGGCAAAUUGAUUUCAAAUACCAAGAUAUUCUUCCUUUUUCAUAAUCCUCUCAAUUUUCGUAAGUGGAACAAGAUACCAACAGCCAUCAUCACGUCCGGAGUCUGAUUUUACUUUGGAUCUGCCGCGUGCGGAACAGCUACGCAUUAAAAUGGAAAAAGAAAAGAA
rnacentral:misc_RNA from 1 species